rnacentral:rRNA from 1 species
CCUACGGGCGGCAGCAGUGAGGAAUAUUGGUCAAUGGGCGCGAGCCUGAACCAGCCAAGUAGCGUGAAGGAUGACUGCCCUACGGGUUGUAAACUUCUUUUAUAAAGGAAUAAAGUGAGGCACGUGUGCCGUUUUGUAUGUACUGUAUGAAUAAGGAUCGGCUAACUCCGUGCCAGCAGCCGCGGUAAUACGGAGGAUCCGAGCGUUAUCCGGAUUUAUGGGGGUUAAAGGGAGCGUAGAGGGGUUGUUAAGUCAGUUGGGAAAGUUUGCGGCUCAACCGUAAAAUUGCAAUUGAUACUGGCAGUCUUGAUUACCGUUGAGGUCGGCGGACUUCGUGGUGUAGCGGU